GAUGAAGAACGUAGCGAAAUGCGAUAAGUAAUGUGAAUUGCAGAAUUCAGUGAAUCAUCGAAUCUUUGAACGCACAUUGCGCCCCUUGGUAUCCCGAGGGGCAUGCCUGUUCGAGCGUCAUUUCACCACUCAAGCCUGGCUUGGUGUUGGGCGACGUCCUCUUUGGGGACGCGCCUCGAAACGCUCGGCGGCGUGGCACCGGCUUUAAGCGUAGCAGAAUCUUUCGCUUUGGAAGUCGGGGCCCCGUCUGCCGGAAGACCUGCUCGCAAGGUUGACCUCGGAUCAGGCAGGGAUACCCGCUGAACUUAAGCAUAUCAAUAGCGGAGGA
rnacentral:misc_RNA from 1 species